GCUUCAGUAUUGUAAUGGAUAAGCACAGCAGACCAGAUAUCUGUGGAUACGGGUUCGACUCCUGUCUUAGGUU
rnacentral:tRNA from 1 species